rnacentral:tRNA from 1 species
GCCUCUGUAGCAUAGCGGCUAAUGCGUCUGCCUCGUAAGCAGAAGAUCGGGAGUUCAAUUCUCCCCAGAGGCU